rnacentral:lncRNA from 1 species
CCCUGCUUUGGUAUUUUUCUGCAUACUCAAAAUCCUUUCAUUUCAGUGCGGAAUCAUAGCAACUCCCUGUGAAGACAUUCUAACAAAAAUGAAAUUCAACCCAUGUGCUCCUGAUAAGAUGGACAGUCCUGGUGAGGUGCGGAGGGCCCAGGGAGCUUCUGACUGCAAGCGCACACUUUUAGAGAUGCCAGAAGUUUUUCAGGAGAUGGAGCACCCAUGUCAUGCAAGGCACACACGGGCUAGCGCCAGAGAAGAGGGCAGCACUGGGCAUGGGGAGAGGGAGAAGCCCAAAGGGAGUUGGCUAAUUCUGGAAUGUUCUGGGGUUAAAGAGCAUCACUGGGCUGAAGGCACCACGAUAUGGCAAUGCAUUUGA